AACUGACCCUUCGGGUGACGUUAACGGCGUCGAGCGGCGGACGGGUGAGUAAUGCCUGGGAAAUUGCCCUGAUGUGGGGGAUAACCAUUGGAAACGAUGGCUAAUACCGCAUAAUGCCUUCGGGCCAAAGAGGGGGACCUUCGGGCCUCUCGCGUCAGGAUAUGCCCAGGUGGGAUUAGCUAGUUGGUGAGGUAAUGGCUCACCAAGGCGACGAUCCCUAGCUGGUCUGAGAGGAUGAUCAGCCACACUGGAACUGAGACACGGUCCAGACUCCUACGGGAGGCAGCAGUGGGGAAUAUUGCACAAUGGGCGCAAGCCUGAUGCAGCCAUGCCGCGUGUGUGAAGAAGGCCUUCGGGUUGUAAAGCACUUUCAGUCGUGAGGAAGGUGGUGUCGUUAAUAGCGGCAUCAUUUGACGUUAGCGACAGAAGAAGCACCGGCUAACUCCGUGCCAGCAGCCGCGGUAAUACGGAGGGUGCGAGCGUUAAUCGGAAUUACUGGGCGUAAAGCGCAUGCAGGUGGUUAGUUAAGUCAGAUGUGAAAGCCCGGGGCUCAACCUCGGAACUGCAUUUGAAACUGGCUGACUAGAGUACUGUAGAGGGGGGUAGAAUUUC
rnacentral:rRNA from 1 species